rnacentral:rRNA from 1 species
UACGUAGGGGGGCGAGCGUUGUCCGGAAUCAUUGGGCGUAAAGAGCGUGUAGGCGGCUUGGCAAGUCUGACGUGAAAUCCCGCGGCUCAACCGCGGUAGGUCGUUGGAAACUGCCUCGCUAGAGUCCGGAAGAGGAGAGCGGAAUUCCUGGUGUAGCGGUGGAAUGCGCAGAUAUUAGGAAGAACACCCGUGGCGAAGGCGGCUCUCGUGGGACGGUACUGACGCUGAGACGCGAAAGCGUGGGGAGCGAACAGG